CAGUGAUUAGCUCAGUUUGGUAGAGUGCUUGACUUGGAAUCAAGAGGCCACAGGUUCAAAUCCUGUAUCAUUGACCA
rnacentral:tRNA from 1 species